CUGUACAAGGGCAAACCCGUUGCGAAGCGGGGACGCAAAGCUUCCGGCCUGUGAAAAGGCAGCGGGGCCGCCGUGG
rnacentral:ncRNA from 1 species